rnacentral:rRNA from 1 species
ACGGGAGGCAGCAGUAGGGAAUAUUGGUCAAUGGGGGAAACCCUGAACCAGCGACGCCGCGUGAGUGAAGAAGUAUUUCGGUAUGUAAAGCUCUAUCAGCAGGGACGAUAAUGACGGUACCUGACUAAGAAGCCCCGGCUAACUACGUGCCAGCAGCCGCGGUAAUACGUAGGGGGCAAGCGUUAUCCGGAUUUACUGGGUGUAAAGGGAGCGUAGACGGUAUGGCAAGUCUGAAGUGAAAUGCAUGGGCUCAACCCAUGAACUGCUUUGGAAACUGUCAAACUAGAGUGCAGGAGAGGUAAGUGGAAUUCCUAGUGUAGCGGUGAAAUGCGUAGAUAUUAGGAGGAACACCAGUGGCGAAGGCGGCUUACUGGACUGUAACUGACGUUGAGGCUCGAAAGCGUGGGGAGCAAACAGGAUUAGAUACCCUGGUA